AAGGUAUGAUUUUAGAAAAAAUAUCGCGAGUAUUAUCUUUUAAGCAAUCCUGUUGGCUUAAACCCUAUAUUGAUCUAAAUACAUCCCAUAGAAAAGAAGCUAAGAAUGAGUUUGAGAUAAACUUUUAUAAAUUAAUGGUUAAUGCUGUCUACGGUAAAACGAUGGAGAAUGUAGAAAAGCGACGGGAGGUCGCAUUAAUUAAACAUUAUAAUUCAAGACAAAAUUCCGCAGGGUUUAGACAACGCAUAGCUAGACAUAAUUUUCACAGUGUUGAAAUCUUUGGUGAAAAUUUAGCUGCCAUUGAGUCC
rnacentral:lncRNA from 1 species